ACAGUAUGCACUGUGAGCCUGACACAGAAGCUGGCAGCAGUGGCAGACAACUAAGUGCAAUUACAUUACAUAGAAAUUUUUUUUUAAAAAAAGCAUACCCUAACCCUAACCUAGCUAUGCUUUUCCCUAUCUAAUGAACAGCAGCUACACUUUCCCUCCUCUUACUAAGCAUGCAGCUUGAGAAUGAAUCUAAAAUGGAUGCUGUCACGGCAAG